CAAACUUUGUGUCCAACCUCCCACAUGAAAUGAUCCUUUUAUAGGGAGCCCGAUAUGUCUCAAUCUGCACAACACUCAAAGCCUCUGGGUAUGGGGUACUAGUCCUUAAAAAAAGUCAUAUUUAUUCCUGCAAAGUGGAUUUUUCCAUAAUGAUUCAAAGGUUCAAUUAAGCGAGAAGAAAAAAGCUGCAUGUUACAAAAUGCAUCCAGCGACCGAAUGGGAAGUCUACGCGAAGAAACUGCCGUGAAUCUUCUCGUUAAACGCGCAUCCCAAGUAUCGCUGUGGAGAGCUCUCUGCACAUCUAGGGAGAGGUCGAUAGUAACCCAUCAAUUACACAUAACAAGAAGGAUGAGGGCUCCGCUCCGCAGCUGGCCGCGAUGUGGCAGGGGGAGGUGUGUGCACAGAGGCCAAGACUCCAGCGGUGAGCAGCCAGGUGUCGGAGGGCGGGGCGCCCCUCGGGGACACCUCCAGGGACAGCAGCGC